rnacentral:tRNA from 2 species
CGGGAAGUAGCUCAGCUUGGUAGAGCACCACGUUCGGGACGUGGGGAUCGCAAGUUCAAAUCUUGUCUUCCCGA